GAUGUCCUGAGCCAACAAGACCGCCUGGAAAGACGGAGGGAGAAACAAAGACACGAAAGUGAAAACUGUUUGCUCAGUGACAACAGCGACUUAAAGGGGUCAGUAUUUUGCCCAAGGAAACGUUUACAUGCAGAUGGGAGCAGGCGGAGAUCAAACCACCAGCCUUCUGAUUAGAAGACAAUCUGUUUUUCCUGAUGAGCUACAGCCACCCCUAAAAGGAGAGACUCAUUCCCUCGAGUAUAUCACCAUCCCCCUUUAGUUCAAACACCAGCUGCCUUCAUCGGGAACUCACAUCAGGCCAUUUUUGAAGUAACUCCUGAACCGCGGUGACUCGUAGCC